UACGGAGGGUGCAAACGUUGCUCGGAAUCAUUGGGCGUAAAGCGCACGUAGGCGGCGCGUUAAGUCGGGUGUGAAAGCCCUGGGCUCAACCCAGGAAGUGCAUUCGAAACUGGCGCGCUUGAAUAUGGAAGAGGGUCGCGGAAUUCCCGGUGUAGAGGUGAAAUUCGUAGAUAUCGGGAGGAACACCAGUGGCGAAGGCGGCGGCCUGGACCGAUACUGACGCUGAGGUGCGAAAGCGUGGGGAGCAAACAGG
rnacentral:rRNA from 1 species